GAAGAGAGAGAAAAUUCCAGAAUUUCAUCUACUUCCCCUCUUCCGACGUCAACAGCUCUCCCUUCCCCAUUUCUCUUUGUUCUCCGGUCACCGGCCACCAAAUCCAGCAAGUAAAUAUUCUAAAAGCAUCUAAUUGUCGCAAGGAGUUUGAUUCAGGUGUUGGUUUGCGCGAUUUGGGCUUGGAUCGAGACGAAACGAAGUCGAAACAUUUUGGCACCGUGCGAUUCCGUUCUCCUACGAGUUCUCACCAUUUUCGGAAACUUGAGGCUUCGAGAUUUAAUGUUCCGGGAACCAUGCACGGUGGCCGGCGCGACGGACCGGCGACUCGCCGGCGAGGACCCUAGAGGUAGAAUCUCCGGCUAUUGACGUAGAACACGAUGGUAUGGGCCAAAUCUUGACCGGGCGGCCUCCUGUUGGCAUGAAAAAGAAAAGAGUAUUAAAAAAAAUGAGAGGGUUGAUCAAGUGAGGUUGAGACCGAUCGACUAUGUAUGGGAGAUCGGCUUCUUGGUACACACGUGAUGAGAAGGCGGGCAUGUGUAAGGAUGGCUUGUCGAGGGUUUUGGUAACGCCAUUGACCAAUCUCCACGUGAUGUGAUUAUGUGAAAGUGUUAAUAUUUGUGAUUGCUAUUGUUUUGUCAUUUGUGUGAUUAACUUCAUGAUCAUGUAAUUAGUCGGAUGACUAGAUUGAUUUAUUUACGCAUUUGUGUGAUUGUAUAAGGUAAGAGGGUUAACUAACUUACUCUCUGAGUUUAGGCGCUCAUCCUGCUUUAAUAUUUUUUUCAAGUUACAAGUCUUCCAAUA